CCCACGCCGCCUUGCCAUAUAAAACAAGCUCGAACGUUUCCACCACAGUCUGUAACAGAUCGCCUCUACGGAAACACUCGUACGUGACCGCUCUCAGUGACAGAUAAAAUCUAAAGUUUUAUUCCUUCAUCGCGUUUUCACUAAGUGUAUUUAAAACGAUCACAAUGAAAGCUUCAAUGCUCCUGUUUAUCGCUCUGAUCCUGUUACUCUGCAGCUGUCUCUUGGCCUACCCUGCAGUGCUUUCUGAAAAAAAUCUCGGACUCUAUGAAGAUUUUGAAAAUCUAUUCCGUGGAAACGUGGAAUAUAACGCAAGGUUUAAGCGCAGUAUCUUGAGUUAUGGCAGAUGUGCUAAAGGUUACCUCUCGUUUUUCUACAGAUGUGUCACCUGUCAACUAUACAAAGGACUUACUGGAAGAGACUGUAAGGACAGGGAUUAACUACAACCAACCGAUGACAGCGGCAAGCUCUCUUCAAGUCAAAAACAUGUUUUUUUUGAAAAUAUUUAACGUGAACAUCUACAACAUCGAUGCCAAAACUUAUACAAAAAAACUUUAGGAUGAAGAGUAGCUGUCAUUACGGUCCCUAUGCAAGUAACGUUAUUUUUUGCUUCAUAUCUUCGAAAUUUUAACCUAGACAAAUUCAGCGAUCAUACGACAUUUCUUAUACUUCCAACCAAUCUUGAUUGUCGUAAUCCGUUCGGCCCACGGAGGGAAGAAACAUAGCGGAGUUGCCGCAUAAGGAUGGUGGUCAGGCGCCUUCUUCUUGAUCACAUUCGUACGGUGGGCAUGACUUUUGGUCAGUUAGGAGUGAACUAACGAGACAUCUUUCAGUGAUUUUUGGUAUUACGAAAAAUAGGCGGAAACAGUAACGUUCCUCGUCAUCUGCGCAUCCACAUUAUGACGCGCUAUAUACUUUCUUAGACGAUUUUUCGGCACCUCCGCUAGUCAUUUUGUUAUCCAUGGUUCGGCCUUAUGAUCGUUGAAUUUGUCUUUGGAGUUUUCUAUAAAUCAUAUGGAUGAAUAAAUGCAAAAUCAGGAAGUUCAAAAUCGACAGCUAUUAUUGACUGACUAUCGUAGUCCAUCCAGACGUAUAAUCAUUGAAAUUGUCUCGAUUAUAAAAGUGUUCAGCUCGACGUUAAAAACUCCCAACUUGGCGAGUAUAAAAAUACUUGUACUGUAAUAAUGCAAAUGUAAUUUUUUAUGCUUUCUGCAAUAUUGUUAUGAAAUCAUCGUUUUUUUAACGUAUGAGAAAGCAUGACAUUAUGUUAUUUCCUAAACAAACUCGAGAAAAAAGUUGAGGAAUGGUAGUUAGGUAUGUCCUAGACCAGUGGUUCUUAACCUUUUAGUCAUGAGGGACCAUUUCAUCAAAAAUUUAAUUAUUUUUUAAGACUCAGAACCAAAGUUACGUAAAAUGUAGCCCAAACGUACAUUUUUUUCUGUUGGUCAAGUAAGAUGGAUAUACAUAUACGUAAGAUGGAUAGCAUUGUCGGGAAGCAAAGCUUAGCGGACCACUUGGUAUGCAUCCAGGGACUACCGGUAAAGAACCACUGUCCUAGAUAGAUAAGCAAGCGUUUUGUGCCUUUAUAUAAAUGUAAAAGUAGGUUUUAUAGAAAAGAGGUUGCUCACAAUUCAUUCCAAAAAGAAACGAUGUCAUUCCUGUAAACGCGGCUACGUUGAUGGGAACAUCAACUUAACUGAGCCUUAGUGUUGACUCGCUCGAUAUCUAUAAAGUAUCUUUUGCAAAAAAAGCGGGCACCUAUGCGAAAUCUUGGUUUUAAGGAGUUGGUUGGUUGGUUCAAAAAGUUUGAAUGAUUGGAAUAUGUUAAUAGCAUCGAAAGGGUUACCUAAGCAUGCGUAAGAGCGUAUCUAGCGUCAAUUUGAAUUUUGGAGAAUUGCUAAGAAACUGGUUCAACUUUGUUCUGGAUUAAUUCCUGGUAGAUUUCUGUUACCUCAGAACAUUUUUGAAAAACUAUGGACAUUAGGUAAAAUUGUCUCCUGUACUGAAUAGUCUAUACUGACGAUGAAUAGCCAUGUUAAGAGUUUCGUUAUUUUUAUGUGCACCGAUCUACUGUUUGCAUUAAAAUAUCUUAAAUAAUAAUAAUACUUAGUACUUAAAAAAUGGUAUAUCUCUAAAUCCAAUGUUUUAGAAUAACUUUGUGGUCUAGGCUUUGAUUAAGUAUCAAAUAAUCUACAAGAAAGUGUACGUGUAUAGUGUAUGCUUCAUGUUGGUUUCACAUGUUAUCAAUUUUGUAAACUAGUGUUGUAUAUGUAAUUAUAUAUAAGCAAGUAUUGUAUUAAUCACAGUAUUUUAAAUUCCAUGAUCUAAGAAAUUCAAAGUUGAUGAAUUGAGCAAUAGUCAAAGAUUGUAUUAAUAUUCAGACUUAUUAUACGAAAGCUCCGAAGGAAGUCGUCGACUUUUAGCAUUUGCACUUGAAAUGUUUGUUUAUGAAAUAAUAUUAUUACAAUAAUUUGCUUCUGAAUAUUAUUAUUGAUAGUUACUGUCUUUGUUGUAUACGAUGAUUGUAUAUUGCUUGUCUUGACCAGUGGAAAUUGUGUGUUUUAAUGUUUUUUAAUCAAUCAAUGUUCACAAUACAGUAAUGUGCUCAUGUCAUGUUACACUGUAUUUAUAAGUACGUCAAUUCCUAGGUGGAGGGUAUUAAUUAUUAUAUACAUUUAUGUACGUUUUUUAUAUAAAAAGUUACUAUUAGUCUAAGUAGAAGCGAAGAUGUCUCUCUCUAAUAGUUGUAGUCUCUUAUUUUUCUGAACUGAAAAUCUAUGUUGUAAUUCUGUUUUCUUAAUAACAAUAGCAUAAGGUGUGUCGUGUUAACCAGUAACAUAAUAUGGAAUAAAUGCAUUUAUUACUUAA
rnacentral:lncRNA from 1 species